AUUGAACGCUGGCGGCAGGCCUAACACAUGCAAGUCGAGCGAGCGGCGGACGGGUGAGUAAUGUCUGGGAACCUGCCAGAUGGAGGGGGAUAACUACUGGAAACGGUAGCUAAUACCGCAUACCAUCAGAUGUGCCCAGAUGGGAUUAGCUAGUAGGUGGGGUAACGGCUCACCUAGGCGACGAUGCCUAGCUGGUCUGAGAGGAUGACCAUCAACACUGUAACUGUGACACGGUCCAGACUCCUACGGUAGGCAGCAGUGGGGAAUAUUGCACAAUGGGCGAAAGCCUGAUGCAGCCAGGCCGCGUGUGUGAAGAAGGCCUUCGGGGUGUAAAGCACUUUCAGCGGGGAGGCGUUACCCGCAGAAGAAGCACCGGCUAACUCCGUGCCAGCAGCCGCGGUAAUAC
rnacentral:rRNA from 1 species